rnacentral:rRNA from 1 species
GGUUAAGCGACUAAGCGUACACGGUGGAUGCCCUGGCAGUCAGAGGCGAUGAAGGACGUGCUAAUCUGCGAUAAGCGCCGGUAAGGUGAUAUGAACCGUUAUAACCGGCGAUUUCCGAAUGGGGAAACCCAGUGUGACUCGUCACACUAUCAUUAACUGAAUCCAUAGGUUAAUGAGGCGAACCGGGGGAACUGAAACAUCUAAGUACCCCGAGGAAAAGAAAUCAACCGAGAUUCCCCCAGUAGCGGCGAGCGAACGGGGAGGAGCCCAGAGCCUGAAUCAGCAUGUGUGUUAGU